AGUGGAUGGGGAGCAACCUAGUUGUGCGUGUGUAAAGGUAGUGCCAAGAAAAGCGGUGAUCAUGAUGAAAAUCAAUUCCCGGUACCCGAAACCGACACAGGUGGGCAAGUAGAGAAUACUAAGGGGCGCGAGGUAACUCUCUCCAAGGAACUCGGCAAAAUGACCCCGUAACUUAGGGAGAAGGGGUGCCACCGAGAGGUGGUCGCAGUGAAGAGGCCCAGGCGACUGUUUAGCAAAAACAUAGGUCUCUGCAAACUCGAAAGAGGAGGUAUAGGGGCUGACGCCUGCCCAGUGCCGGAAGGUUAAAGAAGUUGGUCAGUCUUAGGAUGAAGCUAGCGACUGAAGCCCCGGUGAACGGCGGCCGUAACUAUAACGGUCCUAAGGUAGCGAAAUUCCUUGUCGGGUAAGUUCCGACCCGCACGAAAGGCGUAACGAUCUGGGCGCUGUCUCGGAGAGAGGCUCGGCGAAAUAGGAUUGUCUGUGAAGAUACGGACUACCUGCAUUUGGACAGAAAGACCCUAUGAAGCUUUACUAUAGCUUGGAAUUGUGUUCGGGCUUCCUGUGCGCAGGAUAGGUGGGAGGCGUAGAAGGUAUUCUUGUGGGGAUACUGGAGCCAACGGUGAGAUACCACUCUCAGGAGGCUAGAAUUCUAACUUAAUUAAGGACAGUUUCAGGUGGGUAGUUUGACUGGGGCGGUCGCCUCCAAAAAGGUAACGGAGGCGUACAAAGGUUCCCUCAGACUGGUUGGAAAUCAGUCGAAGAGUGCAAAGGCAGAAGGGAGCUUGACUGCGAGAAGUACAGUUCGAGCAGGGUGGAAACACGGUCUUAGUGAUCCGACGGUGCUGUGUGGAAGGGCCGUCGCUCAACGGAUAAAAGUUACUCUAGGAUAACAGGCUGAUCUCCCCCAAGAGUUCACAUCGACGGGGAGGUUUGGCACCUCGAUGUCGGCUCAUCGCAACCUGGGGCGGAAGUACGUCCCAAGGGUUGGGCUGUUCGCCCAUUAAAGCGGUACGUGAGCUGGGUUCAGAACGUCGUGAGCCAGUUCGGUCCAUAUCCGAUGUAGGCGUGAGAAUAUUGAGAGGAGCCUUCCUUAGUACGAGAGGACCGGGAAGGACGCACCGCUGGUGUACCUGUUAUGAUGCCAAUUGUAAACGCAGGGUAGCCAAGUGCGGAGAGGAUAACCGCUGAAAGCAUCUAAGUGGGAAGCCCACCUCAAGAUGAGUAUUCUGGUGUAAGGUCACGGGAAGACGACCCGUAAAUAGGCACGAGGUGGAAGUGCAGAGAUGUAUGAAGCCGAAGUGUACUAAUAGACCGUCGGCUUGACC
rnacentral:rRNA from 1 species